AAAUGCGAUAGGUAAUGUGCAUUGCAGAAUUCAGUGAAUCAUCGAAUCUUUGAACGCACCUUGCGCUCCUUGGUAUUCCUUGGAGCAUGCCUGUUUGAGUAUCAUGAAAUCUUCAAAGUAAAUCUUUUGUUAACUCAAUUGGUUUCUACUUUGGUAUUGGAGGUCUUUGCAGCUUCACACCUGCUCCUCUUUGUUCAUUAGCUGGAUCUCAGUGUUAUGCUUGGUUCCACUCGGCGUGAUAAGUUAUCUAUCGCUGAGGACACUGUAAAAGGUGGCCAAGGUAAAUGCAGAUGAACCGCUUCUAAUAGUCCAUUGACUUGGACAAUACUUUUAUGAUCUGAUCUCAAAUCAGGUAGGACUACCCGCUGAACUUAAGC
rnacentral:misc_RNA from 1 species